AUUGCAGUAGGGAAUCUUCCGCAAUGGACGAAAGUCUGACGGAGCAACGCCGCGUGAGCGAAGAAGGCCUUCGGGUCGUAAAGCUCUGUUGUUAGGGAAGAACAAGUAUCGGAGUAACUGCCGGUACCUUGACGGUACCUAACCAGAAAGCCACGGCUAACUACGUGCCAGCAGCCGCGGUAAUACGUAGGUGGCAAGCGUUGUCCGGAAUUAUUGGGCGUAAAGCGCGCGCAGGUGGUUUCUUAAGUCUGAUGUGAAAGCCCACGGCUCAACCGUGGAGGGUCAUUGGAAACUGGGGAACUUGAGUGCAGAAGAGGAAAGUGGAAUUCCACGUGUAGCGGUGAAAUGCGUAGAGAUGUGGAGGAACACCAGUGGCGAAGGCGACUUUCUGGUCUGUAACUGACACUGAGGCGCGAAAGCGUGGGGAGCAAACAGGAUUAGAUACCCUGGUAGUCCACGCCGUAAACGAUGAGUGCUAAGUGUUAGGGGGUUUCCGCCCCUUAGUGCUGCAGCUAACGCAUUAAGCACUCCGCCUGGGGAGUACGGCCGCAAGGCUGAAACUCAAAGGAAUUGACGGAAUC
rnacentral:rRNA from 1 species